rnacentral:lncRNA from 1 species
CGGUAAAAAAAAAUCUACUCCCGAAUUUUUCUCCCAAUAAUAAUAAACAACAACCCUUAUUGUCAAAAAAAUAAAAUAAUAAACAACAACCCUAAUUUUUCUCCCAAUCCUAAUCCUAAUCAACAAAUUAUGGAAAUCGUUUUACCAAAAUAGAAAUCGUUUUACCCAAAAAGGAAAAUAUUCGCCGCUUAUUAGUUCGAAAACUUUUCUCCUCCUCACCUCUCUCAUCACAUUCUUCCAUAUAAAUACACAUUCCCUUUCUUUUUCUCAUUAUACUAUAUUUCUCUUUUGUUUCUUUCUUCUCAAAAUAGCAAUAGCAGAAAAAAAAUUCAAAUCAAAAUCAUCAACAAUGUCUUCUAACAUUGUAACCGUUUUCUUCCUAAUCUCUUUACUCGCAACCACCGCUUUCGGCGAAGCACCANNN